rnacentral:misc_RNA from 1 species
UGUGGGAGCGAGCUUGCUCGCGAUAGCGUUGGGUCAGUCGAUACCAAUGUUGACUGAUUAACCGCUAUCGCGAGCAGGCUCGCUCCCACA